CCUACGGGAGGCAGCAGUGAGGAAUAUUGGUCAAUGGCCGCAGGGCUGAACCAGCCAAGUCGCGUGCGGGAUGACGGUCCUAUGGUUUGUAAACCUCUUUUGUCAGGGGGCAAAGGGCGCCACGUGUGGCGUUUUGCGAGUACCUGAAGAAAAAGCAUCGGCUAAGUCCGUGCCAGCAGCCGCGGUAAUACGGAGGAUGCGAGCGUUAUCCGGAUUUAUUGGGUUUAAAGGGUGCGUAGGCGGAAUGUAAAGUCUGCGGUAAAAUUCGGGGGCUCAACCCCGUCGUGCCGUGGGAACUGGCGUUCUUGAGUGGGCGAGACGUAUGCGGAAUUCGUGGUGUAGCGGUGAAAUGCUUAGAUAUCACGCAGAACUCCGAUUGCGAAGGCAGCAUACCGGCGCUCAACUGACGCUCAAGCACGAAAGCGUGGGUAUCGAACAGGAUUAGAUACCCGUGUAGUC
rnacentral:rRNA from 1 species